GCCUGGAGAUGAGCUCGCGUCUGAUUAGCUAGUUGGUGGGGUAAAAGCUUACCAAGGCAACGAUCAGUAGCUGGUCUGAGAGGAUGAGCAGCCACACUGGGACUGAGACACGGCCCAGACUCCUACGGGAGGCAGCAGUGGGGAAUUUUCCGCAAUGGGCGAAAGCCUGACGGAGCAAGACCGCGUGGGGGAGGAAGGCUCUAGGGUUGUAAACCCCUUUUCUUUGGGAAGAAAUUAUGUCGGUACCAAAGGAAUCAGCCUCGGCUAACUCCGUGCCCGCCACCGCGGUAAUUCAGAGGAGGCAAGCCUUUUCCGGAAUGAUCGGGCAUAAAGCGUCCGUAGGGGGUUAUGUCUGUUUUCUGUCCCAACGGGGGGCUUAACUCUGGGCAGGCAGUGCAAACUACCUAGCUUGAGUUCGGUUGAGGCAAAAGGAAUUCCCGGUGUAUCGGAGAAAUGCUUAUAUAUAAGGAAAUACAUCGCUGGCGAACGCUCUUUGUUAGAACCAAACUGACACUGACGGACGAAAG
rnacentral:rRNA from 1 species